UACCGGAUUUUAAUUUAAAAGUGAAUAUAAAUAAAAAUAGUAUGAGAUACUAUUUUUAUUGGACUUGUAGAAGUAAAAUAUAAGUCAGAAAUGACUCGUGCUGAAAUCAGAGCGAAAACAGAAGAUUUAGAAUUUUCUGUAAGAAACGGGACUGAUAUUUUAGCAGAAAAUGCACAGCGUCAGAAAAUUAUGAAAACUAGAGAAUAUGUCAGAAUUAUUUUUAUGAGGCUAGAUUUAAAGUUU
rnacentral:lncRNA from 1 species